rnacentral:rRNA from 1 species
GAAGCCGGAAUUGCUAGUAAUGGCAGGUCAGCAUACUGCCGUGAAUACGUUCCCGGGCCUUGUACACACCGCCCGUCACACCAUGAGAGUUGGGAAUACCCGAAGCCUGUGAGCUAACAUUUAUGAGGCAGCAGUCGAAGGUAGAAUCAAUGAUUGGGGUGAAGUCGUAACAAGGUAUC